rnacentral:rRNA from 1 species
UACGAAGGGGGCUAGCGUUGCUCGGAAUCACUGGGCGUAAAGGGUGCGUAGGCGGGUCUUUAAGUCAGGGGUGAAAUCCUGGAGCUCAACUCCAAAACUGCCUUUGAUACUGAGGAUCUUGAGUUCGGGAGAGGUGAGUGGAACUGCGGAGUGUAGAGGUGAAAUUCGUAGAUAUUCGCAAAGAACACCAGGUGGCGAAGGCGGGCUCACUGGCCCGAUACUGACGCUGAGGCACGAAAGCGUGGGGAGCAAACGGG